UGGAUAACCUACCUAUAAGACUGGGAUAACUUCGGGAAACCGGAGCUAAUACCGGAUAAUAUAUUGAACCGCAUGGAUCAAUAGUGAAAGACGGUUUUGCUGUCACUUAUAGAUGGAUCCGCGCCGCAUUAGCUAGUUGGUAAGGUAACGGCUCACCAAGGCAACGAUGCGCAGCCGACCUGAGAGGGUGAUCGGCCACACUGGGACUGAGACACGGCCCAG
rnacentral:rRNA from 1 species